GACGAACGCUGGCGGCGUGCUUAACACAUGCAAGUCGAACGGUGAACUCCGCUUGCGGGGGGAUCAGUGGCGAACGGGUGAGUAACACGUGGGCAACCUGCCCUCAGCUCUGGGAUAACUCCAAGAAAUUGGGGCUAAUACCGGAUAUGACCGCUGACCGCAUGGUCUGGUGGUGGAAAGAUUUAUCGGCUGGGGAUGGGCCCGCGGCCUAUCAGCUUGUUGGUGGGGUAGUGGCCUACCAAGGCGACGACGGGUAGCCGGCCUGAGAGGGUGACCGGCCACACUGGGACUGGGACACGGCCCAGACUCCUACGGGAGGCAGCAGUGGGGAAUAUUGCGCAAUGGGCGAAAGCCUGACGCAGCGACGCCGCGUGGGGGAUGACGGCCUUCGGGUUGUAAACCUCUUUCAGCAGGGACGAAGCGAAAGUGACGGUACCUGCAGAAGAAGCACCGGCCAACUACGUG
rnacentral:rRNA from 1 species